CGAUCGGCUCUAUCUGCUAUGGAGCCACCUAUAUUCAUUUAAAAAUAUAGU
rfam:Nicotiana sylvestris Nsyl_contig20044, whole genome shotgun sequence.